rnacentral:lncRNA from 1 species
AGUGUUUAAAUAUUUUUAUAUUUAACACUUUCCUUCAGACCUGGGCUUGAAACUUUCUGUAGGUACAUAGGUCCAUAACGUGGACUUAAAUAAAAUUGAAGGAAAUUAAGAAUACUAGGAGUCUGGCGUGACUUGAAUUCAGGACUUUCUAUUCUGAUACCAUAUUAAAUAAUAUGAAACGACUAUUAUCCUCUAAAAACUUAAUAAGCUGAUAGAAAACAGUAUUUAAAUAUUUUUAUAUUUAACAUUAACAUAGUAUCAGAACAAAAGGUCUUGAGUUCAAGCUUAAGUUAUUGGAAAUAAAUAGUUGCUUUAUGUAAUUUAACAAAAUAAUUAU